rnacentral:rRNA from 1 species
UAGGCUGCAACUCGCCUACAUGAAGUCGGAGUUGCUAGUAAUCGCGGAUCAGAAUGCCGCGGUGAAUGCGUUCCCGGGUCUUGUACACACCGCCCGUCACACCAUGGAAGUUGGGGCGCCCGAAGUUGGUCGAGGAAUAGAUUACCUAAGGCGAAACCAAUGACUGGGGUGAAGUCGUAACAAGGUAGC